rnacentral:rRNA from 1 species
CCUACGGGAGGCAGCAGUGAGGAAUAUUGGUCAAUGGACGAGAGUCUGAACCAGCCAAGUAGCGUGAAGGAUGACUGCCCUAUGGGUUGUAAACUUCUUUUAUAUGGGAAUAAAAUGUUCCACGUGUGGGCUUUUGUAUGUACCAUAUGAAUAAGGAUCGGCUAACUCCGUGCCAGCAGCCGCGGUAAUACGGAGGAUCCGAGCGUUAUCCGGAUUUAUUGGGUUUAAAGGGAGCGUAGGUGGAUUGUUAAGUCAGUUGUGAAAGUUUGCGGCUCAACCGUAAAAUUGCAGUUGAAACUGGCAGUCUUGAGUGCAGGAGAGGUGGGCGGAAUGCGUGGUGUAGCGGUGAAAUGCUUAGAUAUCACGAAGAACUCCGAUUGCGAAGGCAGCUCACUGGUCUGCAACUGACACUGAGGCUCGAAAGUGUGGGUAUCAAACAGGAUUAGAUACCCCAGUAGUC